UACGUAGGGCUCAAGCGUUAUUCGGAAUUAUUGGGCGUAAAGCGUGCGCAGGCGGCUUUGCAAGACAGAUGUGAAAUCCCCGGGCUUAACCUGGGAAUGGCAUUUGGGACUGCAAGGCUGGAGUGUGGCAGAGGAGACUGGAAUUCCUGGUGUAGCAGUGAAAUGCGUAGAUAUCAGGAGGAAUACCGAUGGCGAAGGCAGGUCUCUGGGCUGACACUGACGCUCAUGCACGAAAGCGUGGGGAGCGAACAGG
rnacentral:rRNA from 1 species